CUCGACAAAAAAUUCACUUAAGUUUUCGCUGAAAGGCAACUUUCACCGCACUCUCUCGCAACCUUUAGAAACCCUAUCUCUCUCAACUCCCCUUUCUCAUCGCUGAAACACUCCAUCGCCCCCACGAUCUUCACGAGGACACCUCCACAAUCUUCGAGAUCUCCUUCAUGAGGUCUCUCUCGAGCCCACAGGUUUCUUCGCCUCCACGAUCUCCUUUGCGAUCUCCAUUGAUGCCGCGAAGCCAUCGACUCGGUGACGCCGUGGAUGCCAUCAUCUCCUUCGCAUCAGUCAUCACCUGCCGCCAUCUUCCUCUCAACGGAUCUCUCUCGUCGUCUAUCUCUCGAUGGUACUCUCUGGUCGGCGCUCUCUGUCUUGUUAUCUGUUUCUCUAGCUCGUCCCCAAAGCUUCUCAUGUCUACACUCUCAAGGAUAUGGCUGCUGAGUGCUGUAGGCUAUAGAGGUGAAGCUAGCUGCAGUAAGGGAGGCCUGCAAGACAGGUAAAACUUUAACUUGGUUUCUGAUUAAGUGACUGUGAUAUUGAAUGAGAUAUUGGGUUUGCUCUGUUUGGGGCCUUGCCGAGUUCUAUCACCCUGAGAAGGAGUAUAAUGUUCGUGUUGCUUCAAGGUUGUUUUCAUAUCUUUUACUUCACAAAAGACAAUAAUAUUUAUUCACAUCUCAUACAUUCUUAUCUGAAACUGUGAUAACUUUUUUAAAAUUUUCUGUUGUAGAAACUGUUGCUCUUGCCUAAAACCUUCUUGUAUAUAGAGAAUUGAUUGUGUGGAAAGUUUAAAAUUACAAUUCUAUAUUUGAAUGUAGGAAUGUGGGAAGACACUUGCUGGACAGAACUUCCCUUAUUAAAGCUACAUUGUUUUAGGAAACAAGUCCCCUUCUCCCUCCACGCCCACCCUCUUUUUCUUUAUUUUGAGGACUUUUUCCCCCAAAACUGCAUUCUUUCAAAAAAAAAAUUUCUUUAUUUUGACUUGAGGAGUGAUAUUGGAAUAGACCGGAUGGAAAUUAUGCCACAUUAGUGCAAAAUCAUACUUGCAGUAUUUGGAGUUAUUUGGGAACAUGGGAACCACAGCAAAGCAGAAAAUAGAUGCAGGAUGAAAGGGAUACUUUUAGUUUAUACUAUGAAAUGAUGGUUAUUAGUAACAUAAAUUUUUUGUGUUCAGAUUUGUCUUAUGCUCUUCCCCCGCCCCCCAUUUGAUUUCAGGUAUUCAAAGGUCCUGAGCUUCUUGUUGAUUCACAAGAUUAUGAUUAUUCUUUAGACUUGUGGAGUCUUGGUUGCAUGUUUGCUGGAAUGCAGGGGAUGCUUGAAUAUAUGCAAUAGUUUUUCUAUCCUGAAAUGAGUACUUCAGAUGUGAUGGAUAAAACUUCUCUUAGUGAUGCAUGGACAAUAGAUCUUGAUCUGCUUGCCUAUUUAUCCAUGGGUGGCAGAUGGCGAGAGUCAAAAUUUGAUACCAUGUCAAAGUAUGUGAUGCUCUCUUGUGAUGCUUAGCCUUGUGCUGUACAGAUAUUUUGUAAGGAGCCAUUUUUCUAUGGACACGAUAACUAUGAUUGGCUAGUCAAAAUAGCAAAGUGCAAGAAGGCAGCGCUAACUCAUACACACAAGAACAAAUUGAUGAAAUUCGGAUCGAAUGGGCAGCAUGUAUGAGCAAUCACAUGUAGCUCUUCUAUUUCUAAUUAUAGUUUAAUGCUAUGGAUAUGUUAUUUUGUAUGGAUAUGGUAGGAAUCAAGAUUGAUAAACUAUGUAAUUACUAUUGAAUCUUUAAGUUUUAUGAAAGAAACAAUUUUUGAGUAUA